GUGAGGUCACUGAUCCCAUUCACAGAUGAGGGAACAGAGAGGGAGAGUGACCUGCCUGAGGUCACACAGAAGGGAGGAGCGGCACCAGGGGGCAGAGGCCCAGCAGCUACCAAGAGGUGGGGCUGGGGUAGGACCUAGGUUCUGGCCCCAGAGAGGGUGCCUCAACUACGCCUCUGUCCUGCCCCUCACGAUGAUGUCCCCAUGCCCUGCAUUACCCACUGUACCCACCAAGGCCUCAAGGUCACCCUCAAGCCCCCGGGGCCCACCCCACCUGGUGCACUGGCCUGCCUCUGAAGCCCCGCUCUAACAUCCUGGAGGAGGACAGUGUGUUCGGCUUCAGAGGCCACGAAAAAGCAGCGGCAUCGCCUUCCUGUCCUAAAGCCUCGCAGUUUGUACCAAAAACAAGUGGGGCAGAGGUCGCCGGAUCUGGAAUCACCCCACACAUCACCUGGUCAGAGUUUCACAGCCUGGCUGACCUCCUCC
rnacentral:lncRNA from 1 species